UGCCCGGUGACUGGUUUGUAAGGUUAAACGGCCGCGGUAUUUUUGACCGUGCGAAGGUAGCAUAAUCAUUUGCUCUUUAAUUGGGGGCUGGAAUGAAUGGCAAGACAGGGGCUGGACUGUCUCUUCUUUAAUCUCUUGAAUCUGAUAUUGCUGUGAAGAAGCGGUAAUGUGGCCGUAAGACGAGAAGACCCUGUUGAGCUUUAUAUUAUGUGGUUUUUUGUGUUAGACUAGGGUUAGAAUUAUUAAGUUUGGUUUAGACAAUGAUGUUGUUAAACCAUGUGUUUAAGAUUUUAAUAAAAGUAUGAAAAACUGCAGUUGUUUGGUUGGGGUAAUUGUGGAGAAUAAUAAUCCUCCAUUAGAUUAGGGAGUAAAAUUUAUUGUUUUGUCGUGGCAUAGUUUACUUGUGAGAUCCACUAGUUGUGAUUGAAAGAAUAAGUUACCACAGGGGUAACAGCGUUAUUUCCUUGGAGAGUUCGUAUUGAUAAGGGAGUUUGCGACC
rnacentral:rRNA from 1 species